rnacentral:sRNA from 1 species
CGGGCGUGAGCCACCGCGCCUGGCCUACCUGCCCUUCUUGAGGAGGGAUAUAGGAUAUAGAUUGGAGGAGUCUAGUCUUGGGGUGAAUUGACAACAAUAGGCUUAGAAGUGCCUACCAUUGUUAACUGUUUUAAGUCACAGGCAGGAAGGCCCUGCCGAUUCCCUUCCUUUACAGAAGGAGAAACUGAGGACAAGUGACUUGGCUAAGGUUGCAUAGCAGGUCAGUGGCAGAGCUGGCUGGUACCAGAACCAGAUCUCCUGGCUUCUUCUCCAGAGCCUUGUUAGCCUCACUGUGCUAGGAGGAGGUGGGCUAGUGCUCUGGCUCUUAUGCAUAUGCAGCUCCCUAAAGUCAAAGACCUUUGCAUUUCCCUCCAGCAGAAUCAGAAAGUCUGGUAAAUGGGAACCACACCCCACAGACUGCAACACGGGGACCCUCCGCCUGUGCCAGCCACAGUUCCCUGGUGAGCUCUAUUGAGAAGGACCUGCAAGAGAUCAUGGACUCACUGGUGCUAGAGGAGCCUGGAGCUGCUGGCAAGAAGCCUGCCGCAACCUCUCCACUGUCGCCGAUGGCUAAUGGUGGGCGCUACCUGCUGUCUCCCCCAACCAGCCCCGGUGCCAUGUCUGUGGGCUCCAGCUAUGAGAACACCUCUCCAGCCUUCUCUCCACUCUCUUCACCAGCCAGCAGUGGAAGCUGUGCCAGUCACUCACCCAGUGGGCAAGAGCCAGGACCUUCUGUGCCCCCGCUGGUACCUGCCCGUUCCUCCAGCUACCAUCUGGCCCUGCAGCCCCCACAGUCCCGACCAAGUGGUGCUCGCUCCGAGAGUCCUCGGCUGAGCAGGAAAGGGAGCCAUGAGAGGCCUCCCAGCCCUGGCCUCCGGGGUCUGCUGACAGACAGCCCUGCAGCUACUGUCUUGGCGGAGGCCCGGAGAGCCACUGAGAGCCCCCGGCUGGGUGGGCAGCUGCCUGUGGUGGCCAUCAGCCUGAGUGAAUACCCAGCUUCUGGUGCUCUCAGUCAACCCACCAGCAUUCCUGGCAGCCCCAAGUUUCAGCCUCCAGUCCCUGCUCCCCGAAACAAGAUUGGCACACUCCAGGACCGCCCUCCCAGCCCUUUCCGUGAGCCUCCAGGCAGUGAGCGGGUCCUAACAACCAGCCCCUCACGCCAGCUGGUGGGCCGAACAUUUUCAGAUGGGUUAGCCACCCGUACCCUGCAGCCUCCUGAGAGUCCCCGCCUGGGCCGGCGGGGCCUGGACAGUAUGCGAGAACUACCCCCCUUAAGUCCGUCUCUGUCCCGGCGAGCUCUCUCCCCGCUGCCCACCCGGACCACCCCAGAUCCCAAGCUAAGCAGGGAAGUGGCAGAGAGUCCUCGGCCCCGGCGCUGGGCAGCCCAUGGGGCUUCACCAGAGGACUUCUCCCUGACGCUGGGGGCACGGGGCCGUAGGACACGGAGCCCCUCACCCACACUGGGUGAGUCUCUGGCACCCCGCAAGGGCAGCUUCAGUGGCAGGCUGAGCCCAGCCUACAGUCUGGGCUCUCUUACUGGGGCUUCACCCUGCCAGAGUCCCUGUGUCCAGAGGAAGCUCUCCAGCGGGGACUUGCGGGUGCCUGUCACAAGGGAGCGGAAAAAUAGCAUCACAGAGAUCAGUGACAAUGAGGACGACCUCCUGGAGUACCACCGGCGACAGCGCCAAGAGCGGCUCCGGGAGCAGGAGAUGGAGAGGCUGGAACGCCAGCGCCUGGAGACCAUCCUGAACCUGUGUGCCGAAUACAGCCGGGCUGAUGGGGGACCUGAGGCUGGGGAGCUUCCCAGCAUUGGGGAGGCCACCGCAGCAUUGGCACUGGCAGGCCGGAGGCCCUCACGAGGCCUUGCAGGGGCCUCUGGGCGGAGCAGUGAGGAGCCUGGAGUUGCCACCCAACGCCUAUGGGAGAGUAUGGAGCGCUCAGAUGAGGAAAAUCUCAAGGAGGAGUGCAGCAGCACUGAGAGCACCCAGCAGGAGCAUGAAGAUGCACCUAGCACCAAGCUCCAGGGAGAGGUGCUAGCCCUGGAAGAGGAGCGGGCUCAGGUGCUGGGGCGCAUGGAGCAGCUCAAGGUCCGUGUGAAGGAGCUAGAGCAGCAGCUGCAGGAGUCAGCCCGAGAGGCCGAAAUGGAGCGGGCACUGCUGCAGGGAGAGAGGGAGGCAGAGCGGGCACUGCUGCAGAAGGAGCAGAAGGCAGUGGAUCAACUGCAGGAGAAGCUGGUGGCCUUGGAGACAGGCAUCCAGAAGGAGAGGGACAAGGAGGCAGAGGCCCUGGAGACUGAGACAAAGCUCUUUGAGGACUUGGAGUUCCAGCAGUUGGAGCGGGAGAGCCGCGUGGAGGAGGAGCGCGAGCUGGCCGGCCAGGGGCUGCUCCGGAGCAAGGCUGAGCUGCUCCGCAGCAUCGCCAAGAGGAAGGAGCGCCUGGCCAUCCUGGACAGUCAGGCUGGGCAGAUCCGGGCUCAGGCCGUGCAGGAAUCAGAACGCCUGGCCCGGGACAAGAAUGCCUCCUUACAGCUGCUGCAAAAGGAGAAAGAGAAACUGACUGUGCUGGAAAGGAGAUACCACUCACUCACAGGGGGCAGGCCUUUCCCGAAGACCACAUCGACCCUCAAAGAGAUGGAGAAGCUGCUGCUCCCUGCUGUAGACUUAGAGCAGUGGUACCAGGAGCUGAUGGCCGGGCUGGGGACUGGCCCCGCUGCAGCCUCCCCUCACUCUUCUCCCCCGCCUCUGCCCGCCAAAGCUUCCCGUCAGCUGCAGGUUUACCGCUCCAAGAUGGAUGGCGAGGCCACCAGCCCCCUUCCCCGGACCCGCAGCGGCCCCCUCCCCUCCUCCUCUGGCUCUUCCUCCUCCUCCUCCCAGCUCAGCGUGGCUACCCUGGGGCGUAGCCCCUCCCCAAAGAGCACUCUACUCACCCAGAAUGGCACGGGCAGCCUUCCUCGCAACCUGGCAGCCACGCUGCAGGACAUCGAGACCAAGCGCCAACUAGCUCUGCAGCAGAAGGUCGAGUCGCUUCCCGCCGAGCCCCUCCCAACCGACGACCCAGCAGGACAACAGGUGAUUGAAGAGCAACGGCGGCGACUGGCUGAGCUGAAGCAGAAAGCGGCAGCUGAGGCACAGUGCCAGUGGGAUGCCCUUCACGGGGCAGCCCCCUUCCCAGCGGGCCCCUCGGGCUUCCCCCCUCUCAUGCACCACUCUAUCCUACACCACCUGCCUGUGGGGCGGGAGCGUGGGGAGGAGAGUGAGCAUGCCUACGACACGCUAAGUCUGGAGAGCUCUGACAGCAUGGAGACCAGCAUCUCCACCGGGGGCAACUCGGCCUGCUCCCCUGACAACAUGUCCAGUGCGAGUGGUCUGGACAUGGGGAAGAUCGAGGAGAUGGAGAAGAUGCUGAAAGAGGCUCACGCAGAGAAGAACCGGCUCAUGGAGUCGAGGGAGCGGGAGAUGGAGCUGCGGCGGCAGGCCCUGGAGGAGGAGCGGCGGAGGCGUGAGCAGGUAGAACGGAGGCUGCAGAGUGAGAGUGCCCGGAGGCAGCAGCUGGUCGAGAAGGAGGUCAAGAUGCGGGAGAAACAGUUUUCCCAGGCACGACCCCUGACCCGCUACCUGCCAAUCCGGAAGGAGGACUUUGACCUGAAGACACAUAUUGAGUCAUCAGGCCAUGGUGUUGAUACCUGCCUGCACGUGGUGCUCAGCAGCAAGGUCUGCCGUGGCUACUUGGUCAAGAUGGGCGGCAAGAUUAAAUCAUGGAAGAAGCGCUGGUUUGUCUUCGACCGGCUCAAGCGCACCCUUUCCUAUUAUGUGGACAAGCAUGAGACGAAGCUGAAGGGAGUCAUCUAUUUCCAGGCCAUUGAGGAAGUGUACUACGACCACCUGCGCAGUGCAGCCAAGAGCCCGAACCCAGCCCUCACCUUCUGCGUAAAGACCCACGACCGGCUGUACUACAUGGUGGCCCCAUCUGCAGAGGCCAUGCGCAUCUGGAUGGAUGUCAUUGUCACAGGGGCUGAGGGCUACACUCAGUUCAUGAACUAACUGCCGUGGGCCUCCUGGCAGAGCACAACUGGGGCUUUUGUAUAAGAAGACUUUAAUAUUCUGUAAGGAGCUUGGUCCUGUGAGUUUCUGGGCUCUGGCCUCCUGAAGAACCAGCCAGAAGAAGAAAAGUGGAGGUGGUUUUGCUGCCUCCUGGGAGCCCAGAACUUGCAGUAACCCUUUAGGGUCCUGCCCCAGGCCCAGCCAGGGCUGAGGAGCUGUCACAGAGAGGGCCUCAGCUCCGACCUGACACCUGCUCUCCCCAGCCUGUUUUCUCUUUUCUAAAAGACAAAUUAUGGUACCAUAAGCUGCCAAAGAUCCCCUCCUGCCUCAGACCCCUUUGCCAGGGGCUUUGGGGGCUGAGCAGAGCCACAUCCAGAGUGGGGUAAUAGCUCAGGCAGCCCGCUUCCCAUUUCUCAAACCCCGCUCUGCCCCAUUGUUCUCCUUUCCCUUAUACUUUUUAUUACCUUGCUCAAGGGCCAGAGAUCUCAAGUGUCAACCUUGAGGUCCCAGCUCCAUCCCCUAGUUGCAGACUCAUCACCAUGGUUACCAUAGUGACUGCUUCAUUGCCAUGGUUACAUACUAAUUGCUGCAGCUCUGUGGCCCAGCCGACUGCUUCAGCUGUGGGCCAUCUGAGGGUACGUGCCAUCAUCUCUCCAGCCCAGGCCCCUGGGCAUCUCAUGCUGGGGGGAAGGGACUGAACACCUUUUUCCUGCCCCCGCCUGUGUCUUCAGCCCUGAUGCACAGGCUGCCAGCCCCCCAGUCUAGCCCUCUUCCUUCCACUGGUGCCUUGCUUAGAGCCAGAAGGGAUGAAGCCGGGGGAUCUAUGGAACAGAGGAGGAGCGAUGCAGUUGGGAGAGGAAGCUAGAAGGGUUAUGGUUGGAGUUCUGUACAGGGUUGAGUUUCCGACAGGGAAAGAGGAUUCCUCCAAUGCACCUAGAGGGAAAGCCUGAGCAGGAGAUGACGCAGCAGAGGGGAAGGGCCCUGUGGUGCCGCCGCCCUUCCUUCAGCCUCCGAAGGGCGAUGGAAAUGGAGAGUGGAGGAACAGGCCUCCAGCUGUCUGGCCUCGCCCUUCACGCCUUAACACUAAGCCCACCUCCCCUGCUCUCCUUCCCAGCAUUGAGCCCUUGGUUGCCUGGGCCCAGGCUGGGGGUUUUCAGUAUUUGUAAGCAUUUCAGCAGAACAAUAAAGCCUUUGGACUACA